rnacentral:rRNA from 1 species
UGUGGAGCCGUCCUUGAAAUACCACCCUUGUAGUGUUGAUGUUCUAACGUCGACCCCUUAUCGGGGUUGCGGACAGUGCCUGGUGGGUAGUUUGACUGGGGCGGUCUCCUCCCAAAGAGUAACGGAGGAGCACGAAGGUGGGCUAAUCACGGUUGGACAUCGUGAGGUUAGUGCAAUGGCAUAAGCCCGCUUGACUGCGAGAAUGACAAUUCGAGCAGGUGCGAAAGCAGGUCAUAGUGAUCCGGUGGUUCUGAAUGGAAGGGCCAUCGCUCAACGGAUAAAAGGUACUCCGGGGAUAACAGGCUGAUACCGCCCAAGAGUUCAUAUCGACGGCGGUGUUUGGCACCUCGAUGUCGGCUCAUCACAUCCUGGGGCUGAAGUCGGUCCCAAGGGUAUGGCUGUUCGCCAUUUAAAGUGGUACGCGAGCUGGGUUUAGAACGUCGUGAGACAGUUCGGUCCCUAUCUGCCGUGGGCGUUGGAAGAUUGAAGGGGGCUGCUCCUAGUACGAGAGGACCGGAGUGGACGAACCUCUGGUGUUCGGGUUGUGUCGCCAGACGCAUUGCCCGGUAGCUAAGUUCGGAAUCGAUAACCGCUGAAAGCAUCUAAGCGGGAAGCGAGCCCUGAGAUGAGUCUUCCCUGAUACUUUAAGUAUCCUAAAGGGUUGUCGGAGACUACGACGUUGAUAGGUCAGGUGUGUAAGUGCUGUGAGGCAUUGAGCUAACUGAUACUAAUUGCCCGUGAGGCUUAACCAUACAACACCCAAGGGGUUU